GAGAUCAGUAACUUUUCCCAGAUCAGGCAUCUGCUCUUAAGACGGGUGGAAGGAUCUGAAAGCUGGCUUUGAAGCCAGGGCCCCCUUCCCUCUAACUGGGAGAAGAACUUAUCAUCUCUAUUGAGAGGUUUCCAAUCGGAAGGAGGAAGGGAGAGGUCAGGGAAGACAGACCCGGGAGCUCUACAAGCAGAUCCAGACCAGCUCUAACUCAGUUUCCCCCGCUGGAAUCGCAGCACCAGACUGGCUGUCGGAAGUCACAGGGCGGGCAGAGGCAGUGCAGAAGAGCGGACGGAGCUGCAGACACUUACCUGGGGACUCUGGCCCUCCAUCACAUCCCCGCAGCCCACGCGGUGGGGUCCCGAGGUUCAAAUCAACAGCAGAUCAAAAACAGCAUUUUGGACCCCUGCCUGGGAAUCUGCAGAUGCGGCGGGCCGACUGGAUGCGUUGUUCUAAGCCAUUUUAUAGUGAUGUGCAGACAUGAAGCUCGAACUGUCUGUUGCAGCUACCCUGCUGCCUUGAGGAUGAAGCUGCCCACAGAGGACGGCAGACCAGAGAGGAUCGGAGAAACAGAGUCAUAUCUGUGAAGACAUUAGGAAUCUCUGGAUUAGACUAUACCUGAAACCUGACCCAAUCCUAGACUUUCUAGUUACAUAAAUCCCCUUUUUUGUUUAAACCACUGAGUUUAGAUUUCUAUAGCUUGAACCAAAAGCAUCUAAACUGAUAUACACUGAGCCCUGAGCCCACAUUUUUUAAUUAUUACAUUAUUCUGUUUUCUUUAAGGUGCUCUGAGUUGGGCCCUGGCUGGUGUGGCUCAGUGGACUGAGCACCAGCCUGCGAACCAAAGGGUCGCUGGUUUGGUUCCCAGUCAGGGAGCACGCCUGGGUUGUGGGCCAGGUCCCCGGUAGGCAGUGCGUGAGAAGCACCCCCUUGCUGUUUCACACUGCAAGCACACAUUGAUGUUUCUCUCCCUCUCUUUCUCCUUCCCUUCCCCUCUGUAUAAAAAUAAAUAAAAUAAAUAAAAUAAUAAAAUGAAAUAAAAAUGCUCUGAGUUGGAUCAGAGUUCAAGUCAAAGCAUGUCUGGCAAGAAGAGACCUUAGAGAUCAUUUCUGUCAACCUUCCCCACAAUGUUCUCCACCCUACCUCCACCUCCCCACUGGCCUAGUACAUAUUGAAUACGUGUGCUUUAACGGUGGAGAAAUCAAGGUCCUAUGUGGUUAAGUGAGCAGCUCAAGGUCACGGGCAGAACUAUUAUUACACAUAGACCUCCUGAUUGCCAACUAUCUGGUCCAGUGGAAAACUCCAAACAACCUAUAAUCCUAAUGUCAUUCCAUUUAACUUUGGAAAAUAAUAAAUGAUUUUCUUUCCACUGCA